ACGAACGCUGGCGGCGCUGCUUAACACAUGCAAGUCGAGCGAGAACCAGGCCUUCGGCCGGGUACUGAGCGGCGAACGGGUGAGUAACACGUGGGUAAUCCUGCCCUCGUACUGGGAUAGCCCGGGGAAACCGGGGAUUAAUACCGGAUAUGCCCUCGGACGUUUCGAUUCUGAAGGGAAAAGUAUCUUCGGCCCGACCGAGGAUGGAGCCCGCGGCCUAUUCAGCUUGUUGGUGGGGUAACGGCCCACCAAGGCGACGAUCGGGUAGCCUGGCUGAGAGGGCGACAGGCCACACUGGGACUGAGACACGGCCCAGACUCCUACGGGAGGCAGCAGUGGGGAAUCUUGCGCAAUGGGCGAAAGCCUGACGCAGCGACGCCGCGUGCGGGAUGAAGGCCUUCGGGUUGUAAACCUCUUUCAGCAGGGACGAAGCCACUCGGAAUACCCAGGGACGGUACCUGCCAGAAGAAGCCCCGGCCAACUACGUGCCAGCAGCCGCGGUAAUACGUAGGGUGCAAGCGUUGUCCGGAAUUAUUGGGCGUAAAGAGCGUGUAGGCGGCUUGAUAGGUCCGGUGUGAAAACUCGAGGCUCAACCUCGAGACUGCAGUCGAUAGGGACCAUCUGCUAGAGUGCCGGUAAGAGGGAGACUGGAAUUCCUGGUGUAGCGGUGAAAUGCGCAGAUAUCAGGAGAACACCGGUGGCGAAGGCGGGCUCUCUGGGACGUGAACUGACGCUGAGGACGCGAAAGCGUGGGGAGCGAAACAGGAUUAGAUACCCUGGUAGUCCACGCCGUAAACGGAUGGGUGCUAGGUGUAGGCGGUAUUCCACGCCGUCCUGUGCCGAAGCUAACGCAUUAAGCACCCCGCCUGGGGAGUACGGCCGCAAGGCUAAAACUCAAAGGAAUUGACGGGGGCCCGCACAGGCAGGCGGAGCAUGUGGUUAAUUCGACGCGACGCGAAGAACCUUACCAGGCUUGACAUGCACGGGAAAUCUCCGUAGAAUGGACGGUCAGCCCUUCGGGGCUCCUGCACAGGUGGUGCAUGGCUUGUCGUCAGCUCGUGUCGUGAGAUGUUGGGUUAAGUCCCGCAACGAGCGCAACCCUCGUUCCUAUGUUGCCAGCGGUUAGGACGGGGACUCAUAGGAGACUGCCGGGUGACAAAUCGGAGGAAGGUGGGGAUGACGUCAAUCAUCAUGCCCCUUAUGUCCUUGGGCUGACAAACUGCUACAAUUGGCCGGUACAAAGGGCUGCUAAACCUGCGAGGGUGAGCGAAUCCCAAAAAGCCGGUCUCCGUUCGGAUUGGGGUCUGAAACUCGACCCCAUGAAGUCGGAGUUGCUAGUAAUCGCGAUCAGCAACGCCUGCGGUGAAUAUGUUCCCGGGCCUUGUACACACCGCCCGUCACGUCACGAAAGUCGGUAAUACCCGAAGCCAGUGGCCUAACCCGCAAGGGAGGGAGCCGUCGAAGGUAGGGUCGAUGAUUGGGGUG
rnacentral:rRNA from 1 species